AAAUUGAAAAUUCACUUGUGAAGAUUUGCGAGUGAAUGCCUCCCCUGCUUUUCUCAAAGCAGAGCUAUUUACCCUCUUUGUCAAACUAGUUCGAUAACAGCGCACAUCUUUUUGGAAAUGGCAUCUUUUAUCGUGUUACUUGGAGGGAAUAGCCACGGGGCAUUUGUCCCGAAGCCAUCUCCUACUCAUCCCCUAAAGAUGUUGAGAAUUUCAUUUUAGUUCCUCCUCCAGUGCUUAACAGUUUCUUGGAUGAUAAAUGCAUCACAACGGACCUCACUGACUCUCUCCAACGGAUUAAACGAGCAUACAGGGAACACAGCUCCAAUCAGACCGAUCUUCCACACUUUGAACCCAAGUCUGAUCGGGAUAACCUUCAGGAAGAGUCGAGCAGCUCUGACCAGGACUAGAGUUUCAUCUUCACCGACGCUGCUGGGACCUCAACCGGAGCAUGCCUUGCAGGAACCAGGCAGCAAUCAAACAUGCCCAUAUCGCAUUCCUGGUUCUCUCCGACUGAUACGAGCUCCCCCUGCAAGCUGAGGCCAUGGCAGUGCUACUGGCCAUCUCCCCAGCUCCGGCUGGAAGAAGAUUUAGAUUCGUUGUGAUACUUUAGUGUUUUGUUGAUACUAUUCUUAAUCCGCAUCGUUCUCAUUGGGAAAUUAAGAGCUUUGUUUUCGAAUA